CUUACGGGAGGCAGCAGUGGGGAAUAUUGGACAAUGGAGGGAACCCUGAUCCAGCCAUGCCGCGUGUGUGAAGAAGGCCCUCGGGUUGUAAAGCACUUUCAGUGAGGAAGAACGCCUGGUGGUUAAUACCCAUCAGGAAAGACAUCACUCACAGAAGAAGCACCGGCUAACUCCGUGCCAGCAGCCGCGGUAAUACGGAGGGUGCGAGCGUUAAUCGGAAUUACUGGGCGUAAAGCGCGCGUAGGUGGCUUGAUAAGCCGGUUGUGAAAGCCCCGGGCUCAACCUGGGAACGGCAUCCGGAACUGUCAAGCUAGAGUGCAGGAGAGGAAGGUAGAAUUCCCGGUGUAGCGGUGAAAUGCGUAGAGAUCGGGAGGAAUACCAGUGGCGAAGGCGGCCUUCUGGACUGACACUGACACUGAGGUGCGAAAGCGUGGGUAGCAAACAGGAUUAGAUACCCUAGUAGUC
rnacentral:rRNA from 1 species